GAAAAACAAGAGGGAAUUACAAAGAAGAUAUGUGCCAAAUGCUUUGGUGUGAGAAGCUAGUGACAAUUGGGUGAUUUCCACAAACUAUGAGCUUUAUGUUGAUCCUAAACCAAGGAGAACAUUGUCUAGCCACUCUCUCUCUGCUUUGAGUUAAAGUCCAUUCCACAGAGCCAUUUGCAGGUUUUCGUCACCAAAAGGAUGUGAUUGUUGGACAUCUAAAGCUUCCUGCCAUGAUUAAUGAUAUUUGUUCUAGCAGAAAACU